UACGUAGGUGGCAAGCGUUACUCGGAAUCACUAGGCGUAAAGCGCAGGUAGGAGGUUUGGUAAGUCUGUUGUGAAAGCUCCCGGCUUAACUGGGAGAGGUCAACGGAAACUGCCAGGCUGGAGUGUGGUAGAGGUAGCUGGAAUUCCCGGUGUAGCGGUGAAAUGCGUAGAUAUCGCUUGGAACGCCGACGGCGAAAGCAGCUGACUGGGGGUGAGCCGACGCUGAGACACGAAAGCCAGGGGAGCGAACGGG
rnacentral:rRNA from 1 species